CUAAAAUACAAGGAUAAUUUAUAAAUACGAUUAAUUACUUAUAUUAGUAUAAUAUUAUAUCAAUUAAUAUAAUUAUACAUUGGUUUUAGUGUCUAUCAAUUAGCCAUUAGUUACAGUUGUACCUAUGUUAUGUUUGUCUAAUAUAUUAUACAGGAUAUAUAUUGUAAAUAAAUUGUAAUUACACAUUUAAACCGUUAUGGGUAUAAAGAGGCAAAUGAAUAAUGAUGUAUAAUUUAAGAUGAUGGGUUAUAAUAAUAUUAAAGUAAUGUAAUUUAAUUAUUAUACUUGUAAAUUGUAAUACAAACUUUACUAAAAGUACCUAUAAUAUUAUGCCUAAAACAAAAUGAAUAAUAAUGUAAAAAUUACCUAAAAAUUAAAAAAAAAAUCAGGAUGAAAUCAGUAAAAUAUUAUUGUAUUGUAACAUGGAUAACCCAGCAGUAUAUCUUGUUUUCGUGUAGUAGAUAUCUAUACUUUAAAUCGUGUGAAGUGUUCAAAGUGACAGUUUUGGUAUUGAAUUUCAGGGAAAUGGGUACGCAAUGAAAAUAUUCGGUUAAACUAAACUUAACGCUGUGAAAUGAACGACCACCCACGUUUGAAAUGCCCUCGUUAAAAAGACACUGUCGGAUUGUAUAGGUCAAAACGGGACAACAAAAAAACACAUAGAGGGAACAAUCGAGUAAUAAGUUGGCAAUGGGCUUUGGCAUUUGAUGCUAAAAGUUGAUAUCGCAGCUAGUAUAUUAUAGCUAUAUCAUAUUAUUUAUAAUUCAUUCGUUAUUUAGUACACUAACGUUUAAAAUCGGAAACAAAAGUUUUUACUUUUUUUACAGUAAUAUGUGUAGUGUAUAAUCGGUUGAGAGUCACGAUUACAGUAAAUCCGAAGAUACUCAGACCAUUUUUGGCGGAUUGUCCAUAAAAAACAAAUAAGCGUUCAGACGACAGUGCACACGUGCACUUAGUACAGCCAGACGUAGAAACGAAAAACUGAUCGAGAUAUCGUCCGGUAUCCGGUCUAUGUCAAAAACCACGGUGGUCGAACUACACUUCCGCCGUACCCAACGACCAACGCCCAUCAAACUGUCAAUGUAAGCCACAUAUAUUCUAUCACAUGCAGACGGCGCCGCACUUGUAAACCAUCAUCAACAGCAAGAUUAAGAAAAUAUACCAUUGCUGGAGACCCGACGAAUAUUUAAAUAUAUAAUGUUAUAUGAUGAUAAUAUGAUAUGAUGUAUUAUUAUAAACGACACACGUAUACCUAAUGAUAUUGUACUUGUACAAAUGAUGAGUGGCAAAUUUUUUUGGAAUUUAAGGGGUGGCAUUGUUUAUAAAUAAAAAUAUAUUAUGAAUUAUAUAAGGGCGGCAUAUUAUAGGUAAUUAACACAGGGCAGCGAAAAACCUAGCGCUGGCACUGUCAUAAUUAUAGUUUAUAAUCAGUGGCGUAUCUAGUUUUUUUCGGAGAGAGGGGGGUGCGUGUUAUAACCCCUUCACUGGGUACACUAAUGUUUAUAAUAAUGUAUUUUUUUUGAUAGCAGAUCAUUGUUUGUUUCAAUACUAUAAUAUCAUCAAUAUUAAAUCAUUUGAUUCUCCGGGGUUUGAAAAAUUAAACAACU